rnacentral:tRNA from 1 species
GCUCUCGUAGCUCAGUUGGUAGAGCGCGGCACUAGUACCUGGUAUCAGUAUCAUGAUAAUGCCGAGGUCUACGGUUCAAAUCCGUACGGGAGCA